UACGAAGGGGCUAGCGUUGCUCGGAAUCACUGGGCGUAAAGCGCACGUAGGCGGAUUGUUAAGUCAGGGUGAAUCCUGGAGCUCAACUCCAGAACUGCCUUGAUACUGGCGAUCUCGAGUCCGGAGAGGUGAGUGGAACUGCGAGUGUAGAGGUGAAAUUCGUAGAUAUUCGCAAGAACACCAGUGGCGAAGGCGGCUCACUGGCCCGGUACUGACGCUGAGGUGCGAAAGCGUGGGAGC
rnacentral:rRNA from 1 species